rnacentral:rRNA from 1 species
UACAGAGGUGGCAAGCGUUGUUCGGAAUUACUGGGCGUAAAGGGCGCGUAGGCGGUCUUGUCAGUCCCUUGUGAAAUCCCCCGGCUCAACUGGGGAACUGCAAGGGAAACAGCAGGGCUUGAGUUCGGGAGAGGGAAGCGGAAUUCCGGGUGUAGCGGUGAAAUGCGUAGAUAUCUGGAGGAACACCGGUGGCGAAGGCGGCAUCCUGGACCGAGAUUGACACUGAGGAGCGAAAACCAGGGGAGCAAACGGG